UACGAAGGGGGCUAGCGUUGUUCGGAAUUACUGGGCGUAAAGGGCGCGUAGGCGGUGCUCUAAGUCAGGCGUGAAAGCCCUGGGCUCAACCCGGGAAUUGCGCUUGAUACUGGAGCGCUUGAAUCCAGGAGAGGUUGGUGGAAUUCCCAGUGUAGAGGUGAAAUUCGUAGAGAUUGGGAAGAACACCGGUGGCGAAGGCGGCCAACUGGACUGGUAUUGACGCUGAGGCGCGAAAGCGUGGGGAGCAAACAGG
rnacentral:rRNA from 1 species